GAUCGUCGCAAAGCUCUCCUCCUCCCAGGCUUUGCGGCAACAAGACCGGUUCUCCUCCUCCCAAAUACCGGUCUUUUCAUAAUGGCAUCCGUCGCUCCUCCUCCCGCGACGGAUGCCAUUU
rnacentral:sRNA from 1 species